UACGUAGGUGACCAGCGUUGUCCGGAUUUACUGGGCGUAAAGAGCGCGCAGGCGGUCGUUCAAGUCGAGUGUGAAAGCCCCCGGCUCAACUGGGGAGGGUCACUCGAUACUGAUCGACUUGAAGGCAGGAGAGGGAAGCGGAAUUCCCGGUGUAGUGGUGAAAUGCGUAGAUAUCUGGAGGAACACCGGUGGCGAAGGCGGCAUCCUGGACCGGCAUUGACGCUGAGGCGCGAAAGCCAGGGGAGCAAACGGG
rnacentral:rRNA from 1 species